rnacentral:ncRNA from 1 species
CCAGAAGAGGAGCGAUAACUAGGUAGAUAACGUUAUACCGUAAGGUAUUAGGAACCACAUUCCAAUAAACGUUAUUGAGGGAGUUUAUCGCCGAGAGUAUUACCAUUGUGGCUGUUAAUACUCGGUUACUAAGGCUGAAUCCUUAGGGCUGUCACCUGAUUAAAAAGCCUGUAAAGGUUAAGGUGGAGAGCUUCUGGC